rnacentral:rRNA from 1 species
UCCCUUAAAUGAGGACCCGUAUGAAAGGCAACAUGAGAGAAACUCUGUCUCUUAAGGUCAGCCAAUGAAAUUGAUCUAUCAGUACAAAAGCUGAUAUAAUAAAGCAAGACAAAAAGACCCUAUGGAACUUUAACAAAUUGGUUACACAAAAUAAACAAUAGUUUCAGUUGGGACAACUUUAGCAAAAAUAAACCUCUAAUACAACUAAGACUAACAGGUCUUACCACAAUACUAUACGAUCCAGUAAUACUGAUUAACGAAACAAGCUACCCUAGGGAUAACAGCGCUACCUUCUCAAAGAGUUCAUAUCAACAAGAAGAUCUACGACCUCGAUGUUGGAUCAGGGUACCCAGACGGUGCAGCAGCUGUCAAUGGUUCGUUUGUUCAACGACUAACACCCU